rnacentral:lncRNA from 1 species
CAAGCAGAAACUAGAAACUCCAGGAAUAGCAGAGGCUGGAUUCAGAAGUCAACUGCAGCUUCCCUAGCCACACGGGUAAAUCCUAAACCAUAUUAGUGCCAAUGAAACAAGCAAAUUGCAAGGGGCUGAAUUCAGUUCAAAGUCCCAAACAAAACUAAAUACAGUUUGAGAGGCUGAUAUAAACACAAUAGAACUGUUAAAGGGCCAGGAAGUGACACAUGGCAAUUUGUGACACUCGGGGUGGCUGAAGGAGGCACACCAGAAGCUUCUGCCCGUGGACAUUUAUCAAGGCACACAGGUGCCAAGCACCCUUCAUGAUGCUGGGGAGACACAGGUGUGAGCAAGACAGAGCCAGUUCUAGACCUCAGGGAGCCUGUGCACUGUCGGGGCAGGUUGGUGUUGUGUCUUUGUUUAGGUCUGUGGCAGAUGACAAGUGUCUGUUAUACUGUUAUCCAUUGUCCCCUGCAGGUGUUCUUUGGUGUCAAGCCUGCUACACUGAAACAGAAAACAAAGUAAAGACAUAGUUCAUUGACUUCCUUCACACCGGGACAAAGCCCCACACAACUGAGUUGGUUCUGAGGAUUGAGCUCAUGCAUAGCCAUCACAUUCACCAGGAGUUCCAACUCCAGACUGUAUCAGUUACUUUUCUGCUGCUCAGAGAACACAUUGUGGCCAAGACGACUUACAGAAGGAAGUGUUUAUCUGUGCCUACAGUCCCAGAGGGAGAAGUAUCUUUCAGGGUGGUGAGGCAUGGCAGCAAGUUGUAGGUAUGGUAGAAGGAGCAGCAACCUGAGCUGUCACAUCUUCAGCCACAAGCUUAAAGCAGAGACAAUGAACAGGACGAGGGGUCAGGCUGUGAACUUGCCAAGCCUCCUUGAAGGCUUCACCAACUGGGAACCAAGUGCUCAAGCAUCUGAGCCAUGGGGAGCACUUCUCAUUUAAACCUCCACACUCCCCAUUACCCUGCCCUAGCUGAGUGUCCCAUGAAGUCAUUCUCUCUCUCACGAUGAGUGGGUCCAGAUACAGUUUUGAAUGCCAGACUGGUAAGUGGACCAGAGUUCUCUACGCCUGAGGGUGCCAGGGACAGAAGGGGAGAUAAAUGGAAUGGAAGACCAGGGCCUGGCCAAAUUCAGCUGCCUAGGGCUCUUUAACUGCUUGAACAGAAAACAGAAGAUGGGAGUCUGUCUCAAAGGGCUCACCCUCACUGCAGGCAGGCAGUCUGACAACCACCCAUCAUUCCAUCCAUCCCUCAACCCACCAUGCACACAUCCAUGCAGCCAACAUGUGUAAGUGGCAGAAUAAUGGCUCCCCAAAGAUGUUCUAAUCCCCAGAACCCAGAUUGUUACUUAACAAUGGCAAAGGGGGAUUAAGGUUGCAGAUGGAAUGUGGGCUGCUAAUUAUCUGGAGUCAGAAUAGGGAGAUUACCUUGGAUUUUCCGAGUGGGCCUAAUGUAAUCACAAGGGUCUUGGAGAGGAGAACAGGGCCUCAAAAGAGAGGUCCAGAGAGAUGACAGUGUGAGAAGGACUUGGCCAGUAUGUCUGAGUCUAAAGAUGAAGAAAUAGGACCUGAAGACAAGGAAAAUGGGAAGCUUGGAAAGGCAAGGGAGUGGAUACUCCCUGAGGGUGUCUAGAUGGCAGCCCUGGGAGAGUUCAGCCCAUGGGGAUAGAUACCCUUUUCUGAAUACAUUUGCAUCGUUUCAAGCCACUAAAUCUGUGGUACUCUUUUACAGCAGCUGUAGGAACUGCACACACCAUCGAUUUAUCCAGCCCAUGGCAUAGCCAUCCGGUCAGCCACCCAUGCACUUAGCACACAUACGUUGAGUGUGUCUGUGUUAGCUGCCAGACUGUGAGAGUGAACAGGUCACAACCCAGGAAGAGAGAAACCAUUACUGAAGCCCAUACUGCUCAGACCCUGGUACAUACAACUCCUCCCUUGAGGAAGGUGAUACUGAAAACUGUAAGUGAUGUACACAUAGUUGUCAUGCUCCAUGCAGCUGAGGGGUAGGGGUAAUGGCAUUUAGCCCCCUUUGUGAGGAAAGAAUAAGGUUCUAAUGCCACCCUGAGGCCCAGGCCUUAGCUUGCCAGGGUACAAUUCUGCAGAGCCUAAUUACAGCACAGCCUGCAGUCCCUGGCCUGAGAGCUGCCAUGGGUACAGUCCCCACCAGGCCCAGCUCAUGUUACAGUCUUCCAGGAACAGCCUGUACCUUGGUGCAACUCUGAGAAUGAGCCAAGAAGGUGUUGGCCAUCCUGAUCCAAUGUCCUCAAAGGCAAGACGUGUGUGUAGCCACAUCCAGAGAUGCUUCAGGCCAAGAGUGUGGCCAAAGAUAGCUUCUGGGAAGCUGAUCCGGAAGGCUUGGAGUGGGGAGGUGGGGGCAGGUGGGGCUCAGCAUCAAGAAGGAACAGCUCUGGGUAGCACUGUAGACAAAGUGUGUGGGCAGAGUCUCCUUUCUGGGCAGUCCUCAUGAGGGG